GCAAACUUGGUCAUUUAGAGGAAGUAAAAGUCGUAACAAGGUUUCCGUAGGUGAACCUGCGGAAGGAUCAUUACAGAGCGAUGCCCCCUGUGGGUAGACCUCCAACCCUCUGUGUAUAUUCUUUGUUGCUUUGGCGGGUCGUUAAGGCCAAAAAAGCCUUCCACCGGCGUGCCCGUCAGAGGAAACUUAAACUCUGAAUAAUGUCUGAAGUUUUUUUUACCAUUACAAUAAAUCAAAACUUUCAACAACGGAUCUCUUGGUUCUGGCAUCGAUGAAGAACGCAGC
rnacentral:misc_RNA from 1 species